rnacentral:misc_RNA from 1 species
AUCACUUCCAUAGUCAGGCUCAGUUAGACCCCAACAAGCUACAGUGUCAAAUUCCGCCAAUGAUGGCAAGUAUUUUUCCUUUUGCAUUUCAGACCCACAUAGCCCAAUAGUGAGCAUUGCUAAAGAUGAAUGCACCAAAAGGAAUGUAGAGCAGCUUGCAUCAACUCUGGCAACUUCGGCUGCAGCAACAGCACUUCCAGUUAUUGAGUGACCUGGGCAACCAUAUCCCUUGAUAGUGCCGCCAGCUAUGUGCAAAGCACCAAAUUUUGGAAUGAUUUCAAAUGGAAAUUCUGCCUUCUCCCAAUACUUCGUCAUUAUAGGAGCAAUCUCUUUCUCCAUGCAUUCCCUCACUUUCAUUCUGAUGGCUUGCUCCUCAGGAGUCAACAGAUCGGCAAGCUGAUAGUAGUCUGAAGUGCAUGGAGGAAAGUUGGAGGCUGGAGUUGCUUGAGGAAAUGCAACAGAAACAUCCAAUGCUGGCAUAUCAAAAUAAGAGCUUUUCGCCUCUUUAUGCAUUUUCGCUGGGUUUCGAAUGAUUAAGAAUUUCACGAAGAAAAAUAAAUCUCUGUGUUUGUGUAUCGAAGAAGUAUAAACGAACAAAGAGGAAAAAAGAAGUGGAUUAUAUGGCACUUACUUCUAGGUGA